rnacentral:rRNA from 1 species
UACGUAGGGUGCAAGCGUUGUCCGGAAUUAUUGGGCGUAAAGAGCGCGUAGGCGGUCCGAUAAGUCGUCUGUGAAAGUCAGGGGCUCAACCCUUGAACGCCGGACGAUACUGUCAGACUAGAGUCCGGAAGAGGCAAGUGGAAUUCCCGGUGUAGCGGUGAAAUGCGCAGAUAUCAGGAGGAACACCUAUUGCGAAGGCAGCUCGCUGGGACGUGACUGACGCUGAGACGCGAAAGCGUGGGGAGCAAACAGG